AAACUUAGCGGAGAACGGGUGAGUAACACGUAAAGAACCUGCCUCAUAGACGGGGACAACUAUUGGAAACGAUAGCUAAUACCGGAUAACAGCAUAAAUCGCAUGAUAUAUGUUUAAAAGUUGGUUUCGGCUAACACUAUGAGAUGGCUUUGCGGUGCAUUAGCUAGUUGGUGGGGUAAAGGCCUACCAAGGCGACGAUGCAUAGCCGACCUGAGAGGGUGAUCGGCCACACUGGGACUGAGACACGGCCCAGACUCCUACGGGAGGCAGCAGUAGGGAAUCUUCCGCAAUGGGCGAAAGCCUGACGGAGCAACGCCGCGUGAGUGAAGAAGGAUUUCGGUUCGUAAAGCUCUGUUGUUAGGGAAGAAUGAUUGUAUAGUAACUAUAUACAGUAGAGACGGUACCUAACCAGAAAGCCACGGCUAACUACGUGCCAGCAGCCGCGGUAAUACGUAGGUGGCAAGCGUUGUCCGGAAUUAUUGGGCGUAAAGCGCGCGCAGGUGGUUUAAUAAGUCUGAUGUGAAAGCCCACGGCUCAACCGUGGAGGGUCAUUGGAAACUGUUAAACUUGAGUGCAGGAGAGAAAAGUGGAAUUCCUAGUGUAGCGGUGAAAUGCGUAGAGAUUAGGAGGAACACCAGUGGCGAAGGCGGCUUUUUGGCCUGUAACUGACACUGAGGCGCGAAAGCGUGGGGAGCAAACAGGAUUAGAUAUCCUGGUAGUCCACGCCGUAAACGAUGAGUGCUAAGUG
rnacentral:rRNA from 1 species